CUUAGGCUGGAGGGGAGAGCCUGGCCACCUUGGCCUACAAUCCUCGGCAAGAAGUCAGCGGGAAAGAGACCUGAGCUCAUUUCGUUCCUGGGCCAGAGUGAGCACUAUCUGGAUUUCUCAAUUUUGGAAAGAGAAACCUGAAGCAGUCCUGAUCUAAGGGAUAUAGAGCCAUCUUCCCUGGGUCCUUGGGGAGUCUCAGAGCCCUGAGAACAAAUAGCUUAGAUAGCCAUGACUCAGCAGAGCAGCAGCUCGCCCCUCACAAUGUCAGCAGUCCAUGCGACUUGGAAAAGGACGCUGGGGCUACAUUUCUGUGGCCUCCCUCAGCUGAGAAGCCAGAGCUGACCCAGCCCUUAGCAGGCCAGAGCUCCCCAUUGGCAGAGACGUCUGAGUAGGGAGAUUCUAUUUCUGGCUUCUUGAUAAGGCUUGGGGGAGUGGGUGUUACAGAAAGGUGGAAGCAGAGAGGUGAAGGCCCACAACGACCAAAAGGCAUAGUGCAGAAGGGCCUGAUGAUGGGGGAGAAAUUUUUCAGUAAUUUCUGUAAAUGCAAUGCAUUUUUCAGAAAGUUAAGAUUUUAGCCAUUUGGUACACUUGCCACCAUCUGGCAGCUGGAAGCAGGAUCAAUUCCAAAAUCCGGCCCAUGGCACGCCACAGGAAAACUAGAACCGCUCCUGGAUGCUGGGUUCAUAGUAUCCCUUACUUUGUACCAGCACUGAACACGUGCUCUCCAUGUGCCGCUACAUUUAGUCCACACCAACCCCUCCAGAUCCGAGGUCAGGGGGAUCAGGGUCUGCGUGUGUGUUGCCAGGAGGUGCUGAGAAGUUGGGGGAGUGACGUGUAAUCUUCUCCCCUUCCCUCAGUGGGGUAGGUAUGCCCAGAAAACAAAGAAGUGACUUUCCUUCCACUGAUUGCCAUAUGGGCCACUUCCUGAACCUGAAAGAGAUGCCGUACCCCGAACACCAGGUCCUCAGCUCUAGCAAAUACAGGAGGGACAAGUUUCAGCCUCCGGCUGUCAGGGAGCAGCAAAUACAGAGCUGACAACAGAGUCGACCUCUUUGAGGCAGAAGCAUUCUGGCGUUUUGCACAGAGGAAACAGAACCAAAGUUGCCCUCGGGCCAAGGGGCUGACUCCUUGACCACUGGGACCAGCCAGCAAAGCCUACUUAGUGACCUCCAGCAAAAAGUCCACCAGUGAGCUGCGCAGGAUGAGAUCAAAGCUUUGUCUCGGCAGCCAGACCAGAGGAGAUCCUGGUUCUCACUAUGCUCAGAGUCACAUUAAACAAACAAUACCACAGUUUUCACUAAAACCCGUUGAAUUUUAAAUGUACUGUUGACUAAAUUAGGGAGUUAUCGUUCAGUUGAUCUGGUAAUCCAUUUGUCCACCAAACUUCAGAUUUACAAACAAUGGUUUUCUGGGAAAGCCUCUUGAAGCCUGGAUGGUAAAUGUUUACCUUAAAAAAGCAAAAACUGAAGAAGGCAAAAGUGGCCUGGUGAGUAAAACCAAAAGCCUGCAGCAGACGGUCACGUUGCUGGACUGACUGUUUGUUUUGAAAAAUGUUCCCAUUCCGAGCCUUGACAUUGGGGAAAUUAGGAACAUGGUAACCGACUUCCUGUCUAGUAUUUCCCUGGAUUUCCUGGAAUCCAAUUUGAAGUGUCGUUUUCCCCUGAACCACCAAGGAGUUAAACUUUGGCUCUGUUCUCCCAGUGACUAAUAGGCACCGUGUGGCUCUGAGAUCAGCGAGAAAGAAACUGACAGUCGGCGUGGGAAGUGUGCGAGAUUUCAGUGCUCUUGAAAUGCCUUUGAUGGGCAUGGUGAGCGAGCACAAGGAUUAUUGCCACCUAGAGCCCCUGAUUGUGUAAUUUGAUCUUGAAUUCUUGUUUCUCUCUUUGAAUUUUGCUUGAUUUUAAAGGAGGAUCUCGGACUCCUUUGGGGGCUUGAUAUGACUGCAGUGUGUGAGUUAUUCCACGGAGAAUGAUAUUUUAGGCAACAAACUAAUUCCACCACUUUGAAAAACAACCCACUUUGGUUGAAAACAAAGCAGAAUCAAGUGACCUGACCAAAUGGCACUUGACGUGUGUUAGGAAGACUUGUCUUCCCGCUCUUGCUGUUUUCUUUCUUGUGAGAGGAGCCCAAUUAGCAUAACACUCCUGGCUUCUCACCACCCUCCCCCACCCCCAUUCUUCCCUGGGAAGGAGGAGUGGUUUAAGAUGACUGAUGAGUUUGGAAGGAGAAACUAUGCCUCAUACCAUCUUCUCUUCCUUUCUUCUUGGGAGUCAACACUCCUCCCGCAGGGUGGAAAGGAGAGGCCCAUUCUGGCCCAGCUGCCUAUUGCUGAGUGUCCACGUAUGAUUUUGAGCCCAAGUGUCAGGAAGCUCAUUGGCCUGAGAAUGUAAGCCACAUUCUCUAAUAUCAGCCUUAUUAGUAAUAAAGGUUAUUUUCGGUCCUCAUCUAGCUUACUGCUAUCUUACUUCUGAUUCACUUCAAAACUCGCAGAAAAGGGGAGGCGACUGCUAUUUUGAGGCCUCCUCGAAGACCCCAACAUAUUUACCAGGCGGCUUCCUGGUGGUUAGAAAAAGCCUUGUGUUGGGAUGAAACCCUGGCUUCUAGAUCCACAUCACUACUUUCUUAUAGGACAACAGGUUCUUUAGUUGUCAAAUGAGUAAAGGGGAGUUUACAGAAGGUGUUCCUUCCAGCUGAAAUGUAUCCAUUCAAAACUUAUUUAUUGAAUGCCUACUAUGUGCCAGGGAGUACAACGGUGAUCAAGAGAGACAGUCUCUGCUGCCACACAGUUUAUAAUCUAACUAGGGUGCAUCAAUUAGAAAGUUUAAUGUUCCAAGUGAAAUGAAACCAUCUCAAACAGGCUGAAGCAAUAAGGAAAAUUUAUUGGCUCACUGGGGAUCCAGGCACGAUUUGAUCCAGGACUCAAACAACAGGGAUCCAUUUCUUGGCUCUGCUUCCUCUGGGUGGGAUUCAUUCUUUUGUCACCAUAUGAUGCAACCCCUCCUCUCUCCUGGCAGCUCCACACUUUCCACUAUGACUGCAGGAGAAAUGAGAUGUACCAUUUACCAGGCUGAGAAGAGUCCAAGUGCCAACAUUCCCUACAGACUCCUGAGGUCCACUCUGAUUAGACCAUUUCAGGGCACAGGCCUCCCCUAAAGCGAUGACCGAGCUCAGAGUGAUAGAUACACUGAUGGGCUCAAACCCAGUGGGGUCCAUCCCUGGAUGGAGGAAAGUUGGGCCCUCCCUAUAUGGCUCAGAAAUUUAGAAAUCUAUUAGGAAGAGAGAGGGGGCAGCAACCAGUAACUGUCCACGAUAGAAAGACAAUAAAUAAAAUGAGAAUUUUGCUUUGAGGGAACAAUUCAGCCUGUAGAAAAUGCAGGAAUCCCUUUUUCCCUGGUGAGUCUAGCACAGGCCUGGGAAUCCAGAGAAUUGGCUUCCAAAUCCUGUGCAGGGCCCCUAUACACAACAGGCCCUCAGGAAAGUUCUGGAGGUUGACAGACUUUGCUCCUUGAUCUCACCUCUCUGGAACUGCCCUUGGGUUGGAUUCUCCUGCUCUGUGAUCCCUUUUCUUUUUUUGGAAAGGAGGAUAACAUGUACCUGAGAGGGACACUAAAAGGAUAACUGAGGUGACAUCCACAAAGCAUCUGUCACUAAAUAAACCCAAGCUAUCUAUUGACCUGUGCUUGUGAUUCUUUCAGAUUUAAGGACAUUUAGCCAGUGGUUUAGGGGCUAAACAUUAACCACAUUGGGGCAGAUCAGCACCACAGGAGCUAUGAGCCGUGAAGAUACACAGGCCUUCGGUGUUCUAAGUUCAAAAGAUCUGUGUGAAACAAGGUAUAACCCAAAUUAGUUGAAAAUGGACAGCAAUACAGUCAAACAUGCCAGAUAAGGAGAGUGCUCCAGCUAAGUACCACAGCUAGUUCUCAAAAGGUAUGAGUAUUUGCCAAGCAACCCAGAAGUACCAGCGGGGCCUGAGCAAUCCUUUGCUUCUUCAUUCAACAAACAUUUAUUGGGUACCCCCUAUACAAGAAGCUACUGUAGGAACACAAUCAAUGAUGAGACUGACACAAAUCCUUUUCAGAAAAAAGAAGGAAUCUCCAUUUAUCAAUAGGUAAAUUAUUAUAAGAAACCAGAUUACUAUAUGCAAAGCUAAAAUGAACUCAAGAUCUACUAUGAUACCAGAGACAGAAGGUAAAACUAGUUUCAUUUUGUGGAGGAAGUUGGAGAAGGAGUGGGCCAUGCCUACCGAAUGAAUCUUGCAUUAAGGCAUAGACAAAUGUAUAGGGUUAAGUUGAGAGAUUGCGAUCAACUACACAGUCUUUUUUGGUCUCCCAAAUAAAUGUGACUCAGUCCUCUGAACACCCUCCAGCAGCAGUUAUUUGCACCUUUCUUACUGUUCCUAUUCUGACUCAUAUCACAGUCAAUUAUUUAUUCAUUCAAUUAUUCGGUCAAUCACUCAUUGAACAUUUAGGGCAAGCUUGAUAUGCACCAAGAACUACGUCAAAGGCCAGGAUACAAAACACAGUGAAACAUGGUCCCUAUGUUCUAGGACUUCAGUCUAGGUGGGGAAAGAGACAUAUAAAAAGUAAUUAUACUAUAAUAUGGGAGGUACUAUCGUAGAAGCAUGUACUAGGUGCUUGGAGGCGAAGGUUUCACAAAAGAGGU
ensembl:lncRNA